GACGAACGCUGGCGGCGUGCUUAACACAUGCAAGUCGAACGGAAAGGCCCUGCUUUUGUGUGGUUCUCGAGUGGCGAACGGGUGAGUAACACGUGAGUAACCUGCCCUUGACUUUGGGAUAACUUCAGGAAACUGGGGCUAAUACCGGAUAGGAGCUCCUGCUGCAUGUGGGUGGUUGGAAAGUUUCGGCGGUUGGGGAUGGACUCGCGGCUUAUCAGCUUGUUUGUGGGGUAGUUGCUUACCAAGGCUUUGACGGGUAGCCGGCCUGAGAGGGUGACCGGCCACAUUGGGACUGAGAUACGGAGCAGACUCCUACGGGAGGCAGCAGUGGGGAAUAUUGCACAAUGGGCGGAAGCGUGAUGCAGCAAUGCCGCGUGCGGGAUGACGGCCUUCGGGUUGUAAACCGAUUUCGCAUGUGACGAAGCGUGAGUGACGGUAAUGGGUAAAGAAGCACCGGCUAACUACGUG
rnacentral:rRNA from 1 species